rnacentral:rRNA from 1 species
UACGUAGGGUGCAAGCGUUAAUCGGAAUUACUGGGCGUAAAGCGUGCGCAGGCGGUUAUGCAAGACAGAUGUGAAAUCCCCGGGCUUAACCUGGGAACCGCAUUUGUGACUGCAUAGCUGGAGUACGGCAGAGGGGGGUGGAAUUCCACGUGUAGCAGUGAAAUGCGUAGAGAUGUGGAGGAACACCGAUGGCGAAGGCAGCCCCCUGGGUCAAGAUUGACGCUCAUGCACGAAAGCGUGGGGAGCAAACAGG